rnacentral:misc_RNA from 1 species
UUGGGAGGUCAAUGGUAUACCGCUCAUGACCAGUCAACCCUAGUGUGUCUGCAUCCUGGCCAGCCUUGAAACAAAGUGGAAUAAUUCCCAUUCCCACCAAAUUACUGCGAUGAAUUCUCUCAAAACUUUUAGCAAUCACAGCUUUAACUCCCAAUAACAUUGGACCCUUGGCAGCCCAAUCUCUGGAGCUUCCACUUCCAUACUCAGCUCCAGCCAAAAUAAUGGUGUCAUGUCCAGCAGUCUUGUACCUCGUUGCUGCAUCAAAUACAUAGAGUUUCUCUCCUGUAGGAAUAUGUACCGUCUGUGGUCCUACUUCCCCAUUCAAAAGUUUGUUAACAAGGCGAAUAUUAGCAAAAGUUCCCCUAGCCAUCACUUCAUCAUUUCCACGUCGACUUCCAUAGGAGUUAAAGUCCUUGCGAUCCACCCCUCUCUCAAGGAGGUACUUGGCAGCAGGACUGUCCUUGUGGAUACUUCCUGCUGGUGAAAUGUGAUCUGUUGUGAUACUAUCGCCAAAGUUCAGCAAGCAGUAAGCAUCCUUCACUCCAUGUGCUCCAGGAGGAUUCAGGGUCAUGUUCUUGAAGUAUGGAGGCUCAUGAAUAUAGGUGGAGCUAGGGUCCCAUGAGUAUGAAGUUUUAGCUGAUAC